UACGUAGGCAGCGAGCGUUGUUCGGAGUUACUGGGCGUAAAGGGUGUGUAGGCGGUUCUUUUAAGUUUGGUGUGAAAUCUCCCGGCUCAACCGGGAGGGUGCGUCGAAUACUGAGGGACUAGAGUGCGGGAGAGGAAAGUGGAAUUCCUGGUGUAGCGGUGAAAUGCGUAGAUAUCAGGAGGAACACCGGUGGUGUAGACGGCUUUCUGGACCGUAACUGACGCUGGAGACACGAAAGCGUGGGUAGCAAACAGG
rnacentral:rRNA from 1 species